AAGAGAAAAAACAAAGUUUGGAAUUUGGUUGGCUUCAACUAGUGAUGAGAUAAUUGGAGAAGAUGAAGGAGGAAAGCACAUAAUAGAGAAAUGGUUGAGUUCUUUUUUUUUCUCUUUAAUUUCUCUUACGAAAAAAGAGAAGUCUUUUUAUGUGAAAGAUUUUGGCUUUGGCCCCCAACAACUUACAUAAACUCUCUUUCUCUCUCCUUUCUAUCUUGCUUUUCCAUCUCCCUCUUGUGUCUCCCUCUAAUUCUCAGCAGACAAGACCAUAAAAGACCAACAAUGGAGAGCUUGAAGCCAGCAAAGCAAUGGUCCAGUUUUGGGCUCCACACCACUAUGGUAAUAGAGAGAGAGGAAAUUAGAAAAAGAGAGAGAGAGAGAGAGAAGAUUCACAGCUUGGAGAGAGUCAAUGAAAUCAAGUUUUGUGGACUAUGGUAUUCAACAUCACCACAUAAGAUGAAAGGGAUCACACGUGGCAGCACAGGUUGCUUGCCACGAACGUUAUUAUUACCGGUGUUACGGUGUAUUCAUCUACAUCCACUAAGUUGCUACACGUGUUAAUUUCUGGAUAGUAGGAUGAAAUCUUCAUGCGUAUGGCGGUGGUCGUUAUUACAGGUUACUGUUAGAAACGGAGUAACAGCGUCAAACCUCGCUCGCUCCAUCGUUAAAACUCAAAGCCUGUUUUUGUUUGUCUAUGGAUUCGAUCAGGGGAAUUCGGAGAAAAGGGCCAAUAGCAUGCCUAGAAUGUUACAUUCUGAGGGUAUUUUCGUCACUAAGGAUGCGGGUGGAUGAUUUUUAGGUGGCUUGUUUGUUUAACAAUCUGUUGGGUAAAGCAAUUCAUGAAAUUCAGAGCCUUUUUCUAGCAAGAUGGAUUUUUUAAAUUGUCAAAUUUAGAAAGAUUUUUUUUUUCUCUACAUCAAUUCAUUUUGGAGGUUUAGACAAUGUGGACCGAUGCCAUGUAAUAGCCUGGAUGAGUUUAGUUGAGUUCUCUGCACAAAAAUGAGCAGAGUCAAUGAUUUCUUUAAAUGAGAUGAAUGUCUAACAUUGAUCGAAUACAGCUUAUAGUAGAGGAUAUAUUCAUAAUAAUUUUUCUGUUUUGUAAGGUAUAGCAUAUGCUUGUGAUGUCACAAAAGCAGAGCAUAAAGACUCAGAAAUUUCCAGCUUUAGUAAGCAAAAAGAAAUGAUUGCAAGGUUUGAUGUUUAACAUCUUGGCCCAGAGAGGAUGACGAAGAAACAUAAACUGUGACAUAGCAAACAUCCAAAUGAACAAUGACAAAAGCCAAAGAAAAUUAAGAAAUUGAAAGGAAAUUCAAACAAGUUUCAGUUGAUGGAAAAAGCAUUGUCAAUUCUCUUCUGGCAUGCCAAGACUAGGUAAACAAAUUUUACAGGUAAUUACAAGUCAAUAACCCAUGCAGUUAACUAAAACUAGACAUAAAAGGGGAUUAUUCUACAUAAAUAAAUGGCAAAGAUUAACAGUAUAAGGCCCAAGGAAGAAGAUUAUGGACAACAAGUUACAGAUGUUUCAACUCUUGGGACAAAGGUCGCAAGACAAGGAUCAACAGAAACAAGGAAAGGAAAUCCCACUUAAAACCCAGAAGAAAAAAUUAAAUCCCAAUUAAAAAUAUUAUGUCAUCAACCCUGAAGAAAAGCUGGCUUAAAAUCAAAACCAAGGCUAAUGCAAAGCUAGCCUGAGACCAGACAAGAGAAAUUCCUCGUAGCCACAUUGUCCUCCCUUUUUUCUCAUUAAACCCACAAAUUUCAAGCAGAAGAUAACUUCAAAGGCAAAUUAACAAUUUUUGCAGAACAAAAUAAACCCACCUAAAUAUUCUUCAAAACCAGGUUGGUGUAGAUUAAAAAGCAGCGAGAAUGUUGCAAAUAAAGAUAGAACACAAGUGAAGCUCAAAAUGUGUCAAGGGGGAAAAGGAAAAGUACCCACCGAUUGAUUUCCUCCAAACCAGAUUGCAAAUGAACCAUAUUAGCCUCUAGCAUUCUUGAGACAUCCUUCCCAGAAUCAUAAGCCCUAAUGAAAUGAUCCUCAAUAUCCUUCACGGCUUCUAAAAGCUCCCUUUCCUUUUCUGGGCUGUCAAUAACUGUAAGCCCCUUCUGCUCUCCUUGGCUCACAUGAGUCUCCUCCUUAACUUUAAUCAGACCACUUUCACUCUCUUCAUGCUCCCUGCAGCUAGUAUCUUUUUCUUCAACAAAGACAACUUUUUUCUCUUCCUCUUUGCUAUCUCCUACCUCUUCUAGAUCUGGUAUCCCUUCCUCUUCUCUCACCGCUCUUAAAUCAUCAUCAGAACACCUGUUAUACCCACUUAUAAUCUCUGGUCUAACAACAUCAAAUGGAUUAAAAAAGUCCCAACCGAAAUCUCUUUGUGGUGAUGGCAUUGGCGGUGGCAUUUGCAUAUAAAAGUACCCACAAGGUUGUUCUUCUUCUUCUCCUCUUUACCACCUCUUCUUUAGUGUCUUCCUCUGAAGUACCUGAGCUUGUUGAAGAAUAACAAGACUCGCAAGCAAUGGCUUCAUGGGUUGACUCUGAAGGUGUUUGUUGGAGGAACAUUGUGUUGGUUAUCACAUUUUGAUCUGUAGCUGGCGGUGUAGGUGGAGGAAAGGUGAAGAAGGUGAAGAAUGGCGAGCUACAAAGAGCUUAAUAGCAGCUGCCACUGCAUAAAGAGCUUGACAGUACCUACAAUGUGCUUCUGCAGGUGCAUAUCUUCUAUCUCUGCUAGCUUUAUAAGGCGUUUUCUUUCUCUACAGAUUGACACAACUUCUUCUUGUUCCUCUAGUCUAGAAGCAACACUGCCCAUCUCCCUUGCUAAAGCCUGGAGGUGUUUUUCUGGUUUCAACAGGCCUAGAAGCUACUACUUUUGAAUAAAUGGGGACAGUGUAAAGUAAAGAAAGGUGAUCCUUGGAAGGAAUCAAUAAGUAUUAUUUUCUGAUAAAACGGAGGUGGGGUUGUAACAAAAUGGAAGAAUGAGUUAGAUUUUACAAAGGUUUGAGAGAAUCAAAGAAGGAAAAUGUAGCUUUUGGGGAAUUUUUAGAAUAAGCCACUUCAUCUUUUGAUAAGAAAAAAAAAGUUGGUUUCCUUCCUGAAACGUAGCUCCUGCAAAAGUUUUAUAUUUUCCCAUUUCAUCUCUUGGCACCAUGCACCCACAUACGAAAAGAAUCCUACAGAGGUGGUUCCUCCUUGUAUUUUCUUUUUACCUUUAUUCCUUGAGAGGGGAAAAAAUUCUUUUCCUAUGCUGAAAUGUUGAUAAUUAUCCGUUAAAACACUCUAAUUAGUUUGAGAUUAGUAGACAAACUAAAUAUCAUGAAGAGUGAAAGAGUAAGUAGAGCAGUAGAUGACAGAGUAAAGGCCAGGAAAGAGACUAGAUGGUAAGGUAAAGAAGGUAGGGGCUCGAGAAGGAGAGAGAAGGGACAGCUCUAGUGUUUGGUAUUUUUACACUAUAAAAUUGGUGUGCAACAAUGGCAAGCACCCACUAUAUCAUUUUUAGUGCAAUAAAAAGAUUAAAAAAAUAUUUCUGCCAAAUUUAGCGCAGAUUUUUGAAGCAGACAUAUGUCCAUUGGGCAGUCUUGUGAGUAAAAAGAGGAGUCAAAUGUACUAUAGUUAAUUAGUAGUAAAAGGAUAGCGACCAGACCACUGCCAAAACCACACAGAGAGAGAGAGUUCUGUCUUUUCCUUAGGUAUCCCUGUUUUUUUUAACUGCUCCUUCCUCCCUUGCAAUCCUCUCUAGUCUCUAAUAAUGGGAGUAUAAUUGUGUUACCUACCACAUGUUUAAGGCCUUUAAUGAAUUGUUAAGUGGAGGAAUUUACAAAAGCAGAAGGUUUAAGCUUGUCUGUCAGUGUCAUUUACUGCUACAUGGACAAAUCUGUUCCUUUGAAAGUUUUAGGCUGGCUCUCUCUCUCUCUCUCUCAAAACUGGGAUUUUGGCAAUAGCACUAUAUUUUGCAAGGAUUUAGAGUUCUGGGUGGUGUGGUAUGGAAAAGAAGGUUCCUGUUUGGUCCAUAAAUGAAUAAUGUGAUGCCAGAACUACUGACAAUUCCACAUGAACUUGCAGGUUUUUUUUUUGGAAGUCAUUCAGUAAGAUUUCAUUAAAGAAGAAAGGGGGAGAGAAGUUCCCCAAUUCAGAAACAGACCUUGGUUGCAGGACAAAACCACAGAUAUUGGAAGAUAUGCUCACUAACUACCAGGUAUAACCCCCAAUAUCCCAUGGCCCGAACAGCCCUGUCAGGCAUCAGUCCCUCCAGAACGAAGAACAGACACCAGGAGAACCCAAAAUCCUCCCAAAAAACCUCACUCCCGCAACAACAGAAAACAUGCAGGAGAAAGAACAAGACCCCAAAAUCAUGUACAAAAACCACCCAACAACAAGUAUCCCCUACAAAGCACCCAGGGGUUGAGCUAAAGACCUAUCUAAAUUCCAUAAGCCUGUACACAUAUGAAUUCCUAAGAACAUAAAAACGUAUCAACCUUUGAAACCUAACUGACCAUCGGUCCAGGAAGACCUCCCUGCAUCAAGACUCAUCUUCAAACAAUAGUUCUGACAGUUCAGCUUUAGCAAACAAUCACACAACAUCAGAAAGACCACAACUCGCCUUAAACAGAAAAAAAAAAGAGAUCAACAGCUUACGUGAAGAUUCUCAAGAUGUCAAACUGAAGGUGAGCACCCUCCUUUGCUAAAGCAUCAGCUCUCUGGUUUGCCUCUCUCUGGCAUGUUGAAUCUCCCAUCCCUCCAAUCCUUCUUUCAAACUCUCCAAUUGUAGAACCACUUUUCUCAUUCUCCACGGAGCCGUAUCGGGAUGAGUCGUCCACUUUACCGUAUUGCCCGAAUUGCUCUCCAUGAGGAGUUUAUAAUUAUCCUUCCAUCUUGAAGCUGAGAAAAUCGUAAACGCUUCCCUCACUGCCAUCAUCUCGGCCCAAUUAGAGUCCGCCUCACCUAUAGCUUUGGAGAAGAUGAUUUUGACUUCCCCUUUAUGAUUCCUCAAGAUCUCUCCGAUACCAGCAGGCCCCGGACAUCCUCUAGCUGUUCCAUCGACGUUGGAUUUCAAUUGCCCCUACAAGUUUUUUUCCCCAUUAAAUUCCCUUCCUUUCCUUACCCUUCUUUGCCUCCUGGCCUUGAGUUGGGGGCUGUCUAUACACAUCAAGCACUGUCGGAUAUUCCCUUGGCCAUUCAGCGUACGCCCAAAAAGCCACCCUAAUCCUAGCCAACUCCAAGACAUGAUCCAUGUUCCAUUCUUUGCCUUGACACACAGUUUCAUUUCUACUUUUCCAAAUAGACCACACAACUGCAAAGAAUCCCAUUCUCCAAAGUGUGACAUCUAACUCUCCCCACUGCCACUUGUUCCACACAACAAACAGGUCCUUUACAUUUGCCGGGAAUACCCACAUCGUGCCCCAUAUCCUGCACCAUCCUGCCCAAAUUUUCCAUGAUUCAUUACAAGUUGCAAAAAAAUGAUCACAAGUUUCCCUAUCAGCAUUACACAAAACACAUUGCAAACUAUUGUUCAAGUUCACUCCCCUUUUAACAAGUUCAUCCAUAACUCUUAUUUUCCCUUGUAGCAUUUGCCACACAAAAACCUCAACUCUAAAAAGUGCUAGGUUAGCCCACACUAUGAACUUGCAGGUUAUAAUUAACCUGAAUCAUGCAAGGUGCCAUCAGAUUCAUUUUACUUUCAAAAAAAACGUCCUGAUAGAUAUGUUACACAUCAUCUGGGUUAAUUAAGUUAAACUAUGGAUUACCAAUAAGAUUCAAAUUUGAUAUUAGUAGCCAUCCAAACCAUAAAACUGGCAUAUUUAUCAAGUAUUGGAAACUGAAUUAAGUUUCUUCUUCUAUACUCAUAUUCAAAUGAUGCAUUUAAGAAAUUAUACACCAUGAUUGAUUCUAACAGGAUUUCAGAUGAUUAAACUUUCAAACGAAUAGGAAAAGAAAGAAGGAAAGAAAGUACAGAAGAAGACGGUGCUGAAAUUACUGCUGAAACUCUUUCAAGUCAAAGUAUUGUUAAGCACAAUCCCAACACCAAAACUCUUUAUAACUAAUUUUGUCACUCACUGCAAUGCCUUUGGCUUUGUUUUCCUCUUGUCUAGUCCUGUUCCGCUCAGAGUUCAUUGUUCAGGUUUAAGUUGUUUCGUACUUCAUCUAAACCAUUUUCUCUCUCUUUUUUUUUUUAACAUCCUGAAUUUUAUAUUUUAUUUUUAUAUCACAAACCUUUUACUUCCUAAAUAAAAAUAUUUCUUCAUCAUAUCUUUUGAAAAGCUUCAUUUCUUUCAUUUAAUCAGGCUAACAAACUGAACUUACAUGGAUUUACAAGCAAAAAAGAGUUGAAAAAAAUCGAUUUUCUUAUGCUAGUCAUGUCAAUCUCAACUUUCUUGAGUAAGAUUGAAAGUAUUAUAUCUGAGUUAACAUGACACCAAGGCUGGGCCAGUGGUCGAAGAGCUUUGUGUUCAUGGUCCAUUGGUGGUUUGCUUUAUUUAUUACUUGCUCAAGAUCCUGUAAUGACUAAUGAGCUUAAUGGCUUGGAAAUUGGUGCCACAGGCCUUAGGGUUGGAGAAGUUAAAUGAAUAACACAGGAAGGGCAAUUUAGGUGAGGCAAGGGCUAACACAAAUACGCAAGUUAGGAUUUAUGCUUUGUGGGUUUUGUGAGGAUGUGCCCUGACACAAUCUGACAACAUAGGGAGGGAUAAGGCCCCUUUUCUCACCUAGGAAUUCCCUACUUCCUCCACUUUGAAUAACCAAGUUUGGUUUGCCCCAAAAAUAUGUGUUAUUCACUUUGAAUAGAACAAGAAUCAAGAGUUGGAUGGCAAGAAAUGAAAUAAGUCAAUAAAUAACAACUGUGCUUUCUGUGUUGCAGGGAGUGGAAGAGUUGCCUUUUUUUUUAAUCUUCGUUUUCCCUUCUUUAACCAUUUGGACUUGAGGACAGAAUAAGAAUAUGAGAGAGUUAAAAAUCUUGGGACAACCUCAACCUGACUGCAAAUGUCCUGUACUACUAUUGAACAACCACUACGUUGUUGGACAUGGAUGGUUGGGCUUACUCUCCAAUUUCCACCAGACAGGUGGACGACCUGAACAGACAAUAAUCCCUGCUAGAUUCUGGAUUAGGAAACCUGAAAUAUGGAGUUGUUCCAGACUAGUUUCAUUCCGGGUGAUGUAAUGACCUCCACCACCACACCCAAUCUGACAUCAAUAUAGAAUUCCAACACUGUUAACAGUUGUGAAGCAGGUAUGCCAGGUUUCUACAGAAUCUUGAUGGAAGCUUGAGAAGCCUAACAUUCAAUUUAUUUAGUAGUACUUGAAAAGUAUCCUUCCUUAGAGGUACAAGAUGGGCUGUUUGUUUCCUUUAUGCAAUGAAUUUUCCUGGUUACCUCCAAAAGAUUUUGAUAUGGAUACAGCAAUUCUUUUCUAAAUGCACAAGGAACAAUUUCCAGAGUCCUGUUUCCCAGAAUUAAAGAAGACUAUCAGAGAAAUGGAUAAACGAAAAGGUUACACGAUAAAAACAUAAGGGGAGGAAAAGAUCAACCAAGUAGACUAGGGGCCGGGGGAUUUCACCAAUGUUUGAUAUGUCGGCCAUUUGUCUUACUAGAGCCCGGCACGAGAUAAUUCCACAUUGAACACCAAUUGCACCAUUACCUCGCUACGGACAUAUAAUCACCAUGAAAUAAUUGCUUCCAACACUGUUGUCCAUUUGCCCCUUUACACAACCGAAACUGUCCGCCACGUUAGAAUCAGUAAAGAUGUUAAUAUGUUGGUAUUAUGUGAGAGUGAAAAGCAAACAGGAAUGUGAAAUAUAUUCUGCACAUUGUGGGAUUCACAACAUCAAAGAGACAAAUGCACCAACUGAAGAACAAAAGGAGACUAUUAUAUAAAGACUAAGAAAACUAUCCCAGGAAAUCUAUAACAUACUUAAAAGGAAGCCCCAAAGGGGCUUCCUCUUCUAGCCACGUGGAGGGCAUAGGAAAAAAGAGAAAAAAAAAAGAAAAAAUAAGGUAGGAAGAGAAAGGAAAAAACAGAUAGAAAGAAGCCCGUGUGCAACGCACAGGCUAUAAUCUAGUAAACUAUAAUAGUCGUCACCUCGUACUCUUCUCUAGUUCUGUUUAGGGGUUUUUUUCUCUGGCACAGAGGCUAAAUGCAGGUAUUAGUUUCCAGUUAAAAGUUACAGUGUACAUUAAAGAAUUGAAGGCUUGCUCCUCUUCUCGCUUUCGGAAGCUACCUCGUAUUCACAUAAGAGAAUGAUACAACAAAGCAAAACAUGCGAUACGACGUGAUCAGGUACUGCCAGCUUCUGUUGGCGUGGUACAAGGAGCCAGUAUAUUAGGAGGCAAGUUAACUCCUCCCCCUCUAACAGAUAGAUUAGGAGCCUUAACUGAGCUAGCCCUGCUCACCUGGUUUGAGUCAAGAAACACCACAAUUACUGUAAUGUCAUCAUGGAAAUGCCGCCGGACACCACGAUCAAUCUUCUUCAAGUCAGAAUACCUCAUUUCUCUCUUCUUUGCUGCUUCUUGUAGAGCAGUUUUUACAAGCCUCCUUGCAAUUCCCUGCAUGAAGUCCACAACAAAAUGUUAAUUUUCUCCUCUUUUAGAACCCUGUUUUAAGAUUAACUUCACAUCAUCAAUAAAAUGCAAAUGCAACAAUAUAUCUAUAAAUGAAUUUAUAACUCAAAAUCAUACAAGGAAAAUGAAAUAAACAAAUAUUACAUGACAAACAGAACCUUGUUCCUGCCCCCUCUACACAACUACAAAUGCAUGAGCAUGCGUGUGUGUGCUACAUGUGUGUGAGUAAAUUGUCCCAUGUGUAUGCAUGCAGUAAAAACCACUCAAAAGAAAAGGCACACUGUUCAUAACAGAGCAUAUUGCCUUUCAUAAUUGGUCUAGAUUGAAUAAAAUGUGAACUAGAAAGUCGUGUUCAUACUGGUUGACUUGUUCUAGUUGAGCUAUUUGGCUUAUGAAUUAAAGUGGUAAUUGUCAAGCAGCAGUAAUAGGAUGGAAAAUUGAACAAGCAGUCAUGGCACUUCAAGUUAUACGCCAUAGCUCACACAACAAAAGGAAAGGUUCCCAAGAUAACUAAUUAAAGCUUCAUUAAAAACUAGAACUCCAAAAUCUAUUAUCGGUGACCAACAAGAAAAGCUUUCAUACUCUAACCAAAUGAAAAUGUCAGCAGCAUAGGAGAAAAGAAUACUGUUCAUAAUAAGAUUAACAAUAUUUGACAUUCAGGCAUAAACUUACACUUCGUGGGUGAUUUUGAACUAUAUCAACAGCUUCUUGAUUGCUUAGGUGCUCCCAGAGCCCAUCAGAUGCAAAUAUCACGAAUUGAUCAUGUGGCUGCAGCUGGUGCACUGAUAUCGAUGGGUCCGCACUCAAUAUUGGCUUUUUGAAAGGUUCCCGAAGCCGAAAUUUGGGAUAUAAAGGCUCCCUGUUGAACUCAGCUUUUUUUAAAUAUACAUCACCGAUAGAUCUAGAAACCUGAAAGGCCAAGAAUUCCAUUAAUAAACUCUCACAAAGAGUAAGAGGCAGCAGAACAAACCAUGGAAAACCAUAGCAAGGAAAUUAUAAUCUUGCACUGCUGGACAAAUUGCAUGCACUUGUUAAAUGUACUAAACCUCUCUAUCUCUCAUUUGGGGGAACAAGGGGUUGUUUUUAGUAAUCUUAUCACAGAUAGAAUUAAGACACUGCACACAUUCUGGUCUAGUUCAAGGUUUGACAAAAAGUAUAGCAGUUGUAGCAGGAAAUUUGCACAGAAAGGAGAAUUGCCCAUUGCAGCAAUAGAAUCUCUUCACAUAUGAAAUCCAAGAAAUAGUCAUGCUUCUAGGUUCACAAUAUUUUUGAGAAGCUUUACAAUAUUUAUAAGGAUUCUGAUUGACAAAUGAGCACUUGCUGGGAAGUUUCUCAACCAAUUGACUAAGCAUCAGAAACCAGUUUAAACCAUCACUCAGAAUUUUUACUUAUAAUUCAUUCUCUCUUUAAAACCUGGCAAUCAUAUAACUGUAAAACACGGGGUAAUUAAAACCUAGCACGUCAGGAUAUUUCCUUUCGCCAAUCCUCUUUGGAAACAAAGCUCAUAUACCUGUACAGAGCUGAAAAGUCGUACAGCUAAAGUGAUUCCCUAAUAAAGCCUAAAGUACAAAAGUAACCAACUCCAGGAUCACCACUAAGCUUAUUAGUUCCAGACCUGGAAUAUAUGGAUAAGUGUUAUCCAUGGAUGACCAUCAAAUCACUUUCUUGCAAGAGAUCAACAUACAAUCCAACAAAAUUUUUAGAUUCCAUCAUUUUAUGCAACAGUAAAUUAUGCUAUUUUAUCCCUUUCCAUCAACUUUGAUAAUUACUAAGUUCUCUCAUAGUCAAAGAUUUUUCUUAUUUCCCUUUCUCUUUUGGCUUUGCAGAUACAUCCAUGCAUCCAACUGAAUAAUCGGCAUCCUUCCCCUCCUCAGCUCCACACUAUCUUUACCACAUGGGAGGAGAAGAUACCAUGCAGCUGAUAUAUCUAUUUCUUUCUAACAAAUUAAACCCCUUUUUUCUCCGGAAAACUGUCCUUGGAAAUGUAACCAUAUAAAUACAUCUUCACUCCAAAAACAUUAAAGACCUGUUUUCAGUUUUCACUUUUCAAAAAGUAAGCACAAGUGGAUAAAACAUUGCCCCAGGUUCAUGCCUUACUUUAAGAGUUUAUUACAAAUCAAGCUAGCUAAAACAAACUUUCAAAUAUUCAGAAUUCAUAAACAGCAUGCUCUAUAGUGCUCAACUUGGACAAGAACUGGUUCAAGCUCUCUAUGCGUCUUGCAGCACAGAUGAAUAAAAUUAGUACUUGCUCCUUUUUUGCAAAUGGCUAUUCUUGUAAACAAAGGUGAUUUAAGCCACAAGUAGAAGCAAGUUUCAAUGUCACCGCUACGCAAAAGCAUCAAUGUUUAAAAAUGGCGACAUUAAUUAGUCAUCUUAGCAGUUAAGUAACUAUUAAAAUUAAAAAUUGUUUGCAUAGUGAAACUUACCUGUAUGAGACCUUUUACACGCCAUACAUUGUACUUCAAAACUACAAUUUGUGGGUCAUCAGGGUGCAAUGACUGCAGCUCCUGCCUUACAGACUCUAUGCAGACAUUAUGCUCAGCCGACAGCUGAACAGCUAGUACCUCUCCUGUUGCCUUCACAGCUCUCCCCAAAACAGCACGCGAAUCACCAAGGUUGGCAACAUAAAGGGUUCCACCACAGAUAACACCAACCAGGCAGCAGGAUCCAACAGCAGCAAUUUGUGGUUUCAUAGGCCACUGUUUGGAAACGAGAGACAAGAAACCUUCUUCUGUUGCUUGAUAUGCUUUUCGUAUCACGUCAACUGACAUUGUCUGUUGCUCUGAAGUGAACCCUGAACAUAGAGAAUAUUUCAGAAUAACAAACACCACCGAUGGCAAAGUGCAUGAAGGAAAGAGAGAACAAGUAGAGAUAACUCUUAUGUUUGCAAUUUUAUUUCUUUCUUUUAGUAUUAUAUACCAGGCUCUACAGCUACCAAUCGGAAUUGACACACAAAACAACAAAAGUGAUAACAAGGAACUGAUAACUUUUUGGACUCAAAACAACAAACCCUUAACUGCGGCUGCAGCAAGUUCACUACACUAAUUAGUUUUAAACAAUUAAUUAUAUCCAAAACAAUUGCUUAUUUAAUACUUCUUUCCUCUACUUCCUUAAUCAGUAAAUAGACGGCAACAAAAACUAAACCCUAGCAAAGGCAAAAGUACUUACUCUUGAGAUGUUGAAAGAGAUGAUCAUUGACGUAGCGCGAAGUCUCUGGGCCCCCAUGCCCAUCAUAAACGCCAAUAAAAGUACCAUAGGGACCUGACUCAUGUGAACUCAAACAACCGGACUCAAGCUGGCUCUGGUCCUCGAGUAAAUUGUUGGCCUGAACCACUGCCAUUGAGAACUCACCAUUAAAGUGCUGCCCUGUGUCCUUGUACCACAAAAGCCCAUCUUGGCGACCUCCAGCAUCCGAACUUGUGUGAACGUAUCGAUCUGACCUUGGCCGAAAACAGGCCCUCAAAAAGUUCAUCAACCCAGAUAACAUCCCUCAUCUCAUCCAAAAACCCCUCCUAAUUCUCCACAUCUAAAUAACCACUGAAUAUAAACUAUACCCUAGAAGUCUGAACAGUGAACCGUAUCCUCUGCUUCUCAACACAAUAAUUGUACACUACACCAACAUCAGCAACAAAGCACACCAAAAGGUUAGCAAUAGUGCAAUUUGCGAUAAAGGCUCAAAAGCAACUAAACCAAGAAAACGACAACUACAAAUUAUAUCUUCCACUACUCCUCAAGGGGCCAUUAACAGCAUCAAUCAGAAAGUACAAUAAAUUUGAUAAAUAUAUAAUGAAUAACUAGCAGAUCAAAUAAAUGAUGUACUAGAAACCACCUCUCUCAGUUUGUUUUAGUUAUUAAGAUUAAGCUCAAACAACGGAAACUGCUCCCUCUUUAAACAAGAAAGCCAUGACCAUAACAGCUCCUUAUGCUGAAAAAAUCAACAAAACACAAAGGAGGGGUUUUUGAAAACGACGGAAUUGGUCAAAGCUCACUUUUUCUUUCUUUUUUUCUAACAAAGUAGUCGGUCAGCCAUUAGGAAAUCCAGAAGGUCUAAUGUUUCACAUUGAGAACUUUAAACAGCCCAGUUUCAGACAUCCCUUUAGACCCAAUAAGCAUCAUAAUUCAACUUGUAUUUCCCACACUAAAUAUUAAAAAAAGAAGAAGAAGAAGAAGCUGACCUUUCUAUUUGACCCCUUUGGUUUAUAAUUGAAAAGGAGGAUCUGGAAAUAGGAAAGGAAAAAACUUCAUCUGGGCAUGAAAUUGGAAUUAGCAGAUCUAUGGAUCAAUCAAAUCAAAGCAAGAGAAAAAACAAAGUUUGGAAUUUGGUUGGCUUCAACUAGUGAUGAGAAAAUUGAAGAAGAUGAAGGAGGAAAGCAUAUAAUAGAGAAAUGGAUGAGUUUUUUUUUUUCUUUUUUCUUCAACAAAAGGAGAAGUCUUUUUAUGUGAAAGAUUUUGGCUUUGGCCCCAACAACUUAUAAAAACUCUCUUUCUCUCUCCUUUCCAUCUUGCUUUUCUAUCUCUCUUGUUU
rnacentral:lncRNA from 1 species